rnacentral:rRNA from 1 species
CGGCGGACGGGUGAGUAAUGCCUAGGAAUCUGCCUGGUAGUGGGGGAUAACGUAGGGAAACUUACGCUAAUACCGCAUACGACCUACGGGUGAAAGCAGGGGAUCUUCGGACCUUGCGCGAUUGAAUGAGCCGAUGUCGGAUUAGCUAGUUGGCGGGGUAAAGGCCCACCAAGGCGACGAUCCGUAGCUGGUAUGAGAGGAUGAUCAGCCACACUGGAACUGAGACACGGUCCAGACUCCUACGGGAGGCAGCAGCC